CAGCUGAAUUCUACUAAGGUGGUGGCUGUUGGGCCUGGAGACCGUGACAAGGAAGGCAAGCCAAUCCUGGUUGCUCUCAAGGAAGGCGACCAUGUCCUCCUACCUGAGCAUGGUGGUUUUAAAGUCAAGCUCACUCCUACCAAAGAGUAUGUCACUCAUUCACCAUCGUAUUACUUUUGUUAG
rnacentral:rRNA from 1 species